GUGGGGAAUAUUGGACAAUGGACGCAAGUCUGAUCCAGCAAUGCCGCGUGAGUGAUGAAGGCCUUAGGGUUGUAAAGCUCUUUUACCAGGGAUGAUAAUGACAGUACCUGGAGAAUAAGCUCCGGCUAACUCCGUGCCAGCAGCCGCGGUAAUACGGAGGGAGCUAGCGUUGUUCGGAAUUACUGGGCGUAAAGCGCACGUAGGCGGUUACUCAAGUCAGAGGUGAAAGCCCGGGGCUCAACCCCGGAACUGCCUUUGAAACUAGGUAGCUAGAAUCCUGGAGAGGUGAGUGGAAUUCCGAGUGUAGAGGUGAAAUUCGUAGAUAUUCGGAAGAACACCAGUGGCGAAGGCGGCUCACUGGACAGGUAUUGACGCUGAGGUGCGAAAGCGUGGGGAGCAAACAGGAUUAGAUAACCUGGUAGUCC
rnacentral:rRNA from 1 species